rnacentral:rRNA from 1 species
AAAUUGAAGAGUUUGAUCAUGGCUCAGAUUGAACGCUGGCGGCAGGCCUAACACAUGCAAGUCGAACGGUAACAGGAAGCAGCUUGCUGCUUCGCUGACGAGUGGCGGACGGGUGAGUAAUGUCUGGGAAACUGCCUGAUGGAGGGGGAUAACUACUGGAAACGGUGGCUAAUACCGCAUAACGUCGCAAGACCAAAGAGGGGGACCUUCGGGCCUCUUGCCAUCAGAUGUGCCCAGAUGGGAUUAGCUUGUUGGUGAGGUAACGGCUCACCAAGGCGACGAUCCCUAGCUGGUCUGAGAGGAUGACCAGCCACACUGGA